UAAGGGAAAGCUGCCAUUAUUUUACUGUAUACAAUGCUCUCGAAACCAUCCAAGCCCCAUCAAUCUUGAUGAUUCUACCAAUUAAUACUCCUCAGGGAAGUGGUGGAAUAACUGUCCCUGGAAGUGUUCAUAAAACAUACAUAGGAGGCCCCUAGUGACACACUUCAGUUACGGUCUUGGCAUCCCUGUGGUAAAAGUUGGAGUUGAUCUUAAAGGUCUUUUCCAACUGAUCUGAUUCUAUGGUUCUAUGAACUCAGCAGUAGCAGACAUGAGAUUUUGGACACUGUGCUGGCUUCAAGAGCUCUGCAUGGAGAAGACACCUUUCUGUCAUAGCACUCGCAGUGCUGCAAUUUAACCACUGGUAAAAGAUUUACAUGGAAAAAUUACUGAUGCUGUGAAAAAACAGACGGAAAGCUUGAAGCAGAAACAAGCCCUUAAAAAUACCAUCUCUUUUAUUUUCAACUUUAAAACUGGAAUGGACACGAAAGGUGAAGACAACUCAACAGGCUCAUUUUAUAGCGAUGCCUUUUGCUGUUGCCCUCACUGAGCCUCUCGUGGCUGGGAACUGUAAGAGCACUUGGAUGGUUUGAAGAUUCAAAAGCCGGUGCAUGGAGGCAGUGCCAGGACACUCACAGUGAAGACCCACAAGUGUGUGAGAAAAACCUCCUUCCAGCUGCACACCUCUUCUUAAAUACAAAAUGCAAUAAAGGAGUGAAAAAGAA